AUUGAACGCUGGCGGCAGGCCUAACACAUGCAAGUCGAGCGGAGCGGCGGACGAGUGGGUAAUGCCUAGGAAUCUGCCUGGUAGUGGGGGAUCACGUCCGGAAACGGGCGCUAAUACCGCAUACUAUCAGAUGACCCUAGGUGGUAUUAGCUAGUUGGUGGGGUAACGGCCUACCAAGGCGACGAUCCGUAACUGGUCUGAGAGGAUGAUCCGUCACACUGGAACUGAGACACGGCCCAGACUCCUACGGGAGGCAGCAGUGGGGAAUAUUGGGCAAUGGACGAAAGCCUGAUCGAGCGAUGCCGCGUGUGUGAAGAAGGUUUUCGGAUUGUAAAACACUUUUAGUUGGGAGGCGUUACCAACAGAAUAAGCACCGGCUAACUUCGUGCCAGCAGCCGCGGUAAUAC
rnacentral:rRNA from 1 species